rnacentral:rRNA from 1 species
UACGUAGGGAGCAAGCGUUGUUCGGAUUUACUGGGCGUAAAGGGCGCGUAGGCGGCGCGGUAAGUCACUUGUGAAAUCUCUGAGCUUAACUCAGAACGGCCAAGUGAUACUGCAGUGCUAGAGUGCAGAAGGGCAAUCGGAAUUCCUGGUGUAGCGGUGGAAUGCGGCAGAUAUCAGGAGGAACACCGGUGGCGAAGGCGGGUCUCUGGGCAGUAACUGACGCUGAGGAGCGAAAGCAUGGGGAGCGAACAGG